rnacentral:tRNA from 1 species
GCGGCCGUGGCGGAACUGGCAGACGCGCAGGCUUCAGGUGCCUGUCUCCUUAGGGAGGUGGAGGUUCGACUCCUCUCGGCCGCA